rnacentral:lncRNA from 1 species
GUCAACCAAACCGUGGCAGCACUGAAAGCCAAUCAUGUUAAUGUUGGAGCCCGGGUACAGUCUUCUGCAUAUUUCUCUGGUGUUCAGGUUUCCAGGGACAAGGAAGGUAAGCAGCAGCUUGUCACCAAGUUAACCUCUGUCUGCUCUCCGAGGGUUUCAGACUGCAGACCGAGGCUCUCAGAUAGACUGCAUGCCCUUUGGCCUUUGGCCUGAAGGUUAUCCUGCCUCAGGACCCCAGUGGAAGGUGGAAUUUACAUUCCCAGUAUCUCAGUUCUCCUGGGAGGGUUCUUUGUGUUUUAGCAGUGAGGAUCAACUCACUUGGCAAAUGUUUCUUUUUGGUGUCUAUUUCUAUCUUUUCUUCCUUCCCUUCCUUCCUUUCCUGUAUCCAUCUGAGCUGAGCCUAGAGUUCAAGCUGGGCAGACUCCACCACUGUCCUGCAUCCUCACCACUCCUUCUGCUUUUUAUUUUAAGAUCAAAUGUUAUUAGAAACACCUUUUCUUAUAGAUUAUUAAGGUGCAUUCGUUUGCUUUUUCCAGUGUAGGAACCCUGUAUCUUUCCACGUGUAAUUAAAUAAAAACAGUUAUGUAAUGCGGCUCACAUUCUUCAGUGGUGGGACAGAAAUUCUCCUGACCUUAAAUCCACAUCAGCAUUUACUCGUUCUGAGUUACAACUCCCAAUUUCUCACAUCGGCCAUAAACAAAAUGAGCACUUGGGCUGGGGAUGUAGCUCACAAGUCAGAUGUUGCCUACACACAAGGCCCUGGGAGGAGUCCCCCAGG